rnacentral:rRNA from 1 species
GAUGAACGCUGGCGGCGUGCUUAACACAUGCAAGUCGAACGGGAAUUAUUUUAUUGAAACUUCGGUCGAUUUAAUUUACUUCUAGUGGCGGACGGGUGAGUAACGCGUGGGUAACCUGCCUUAUACAGGGGGAUAACAGUCAGAAAUGGCUGCUAAUACCGCAUAAGCGCACAGAGCUGCAUGGCUCAGUGUGAAAAACUCCGGUGGUAUAAGAUGGACCCGCGUUGGAUUAGCUGGUUGGUGGGGUAACGGCCCACCAAGGCGACGAUCCAUAGCCGGCCUGAGAGGGUGAACGGCCACAUUGGGACUGAGACACGGCCCAGACUCCUACGGGAGGCAGCAGUGGGGAAUAUUGCACAAUGGGGGAAACCCUGAUGCAGCGACGCCGCGUGAAGGAAGAAGUAUCUCGGUAUGUAAACUUCUAUCAGCAGGGAAGAUAGUGACGGUACCUGACUAAGAAGCCCCGGCUAACUACGUG